rnacentral:lncRNA from 1 species
AUAGGUUUGAUAUUAGAUAUUAGUUUUCCAUUUCUAAUUGAUCAAGUUUGUGUAUUUUUUCCAUUGGUGCUCAACAAUAGAGGUAUGAUAAUAUUGUGGGAUAGAAAUGGUGCAACAUUUAUGGAUGGAGUAAACAAUGGCGNCAGGUUUGAUAUUAGAUAUUAGUUUUCCAUUUCUAAUUGAUCAAGUUUGUGUAUUUUUUUCCAUUGGUGCUCAACAAUAGAGGUAUGAUAAUAUCGUGGGAUAGAAAUGGUGCAACAUUUAUGGAUGGAGUAAACAAUGGCGACGGAUGAUGAGUUACAGGGGCACACCUUGAAGACAUGAAAGAACUUUUUAUUUUUUUAAUAUAUAUAAAUUAUGUGUAUGUAUCAAAUUUUUUAUCCAUAUAGUUUUUGGAUGAAAGUUUAAAUAUCAAAUGGAAUUUCUCAAAAGUAAUUACUAUAAAAAGUAAUAGUAACAAUUUACAGUGAAAAAAAAACUAGUAAACAAUUAAGGACAAUUUGGUAAUUUAAAUAUUUUGUUGUGUGUUGUUCUAGUAUCACCAAACGUUAUCUUAAUUAUUUUUCCGAUUCUGUCCUUUCCAGCUCACUCCAGUUUCGAUUAGUAUUGUACAGUCUCAUACAUCAA